rnacentral:rRNA from 1 species
UGCGGAGGGAGCUAGCGUUGUUCGGAUAUACUGGGCGUAAAGCGCACGUAGGCGGCGCCGUAAGUCAGGGGUGAAAUCCCGGAGCUCAACUCCGGAACUGCCCUUGAAACUGCAGUGCUAGAAUCUUGGAGAGGCGAGUGGAAUUCCGAGUGUAGAGGUGAAAUUCGUAGAUAUUCGGAAGAACACCAGUGGCGAAGGCGACUCGCUGGACAAGUAUUGACGCUGAGGUGCGAAAGCGUGGGGAGCAAACAGG